UUUCAGUCACACCAUAUGCGCUGUCGAGUCCACCAUGUACGACAGACACCUGUGAAAUGACUCCAGUAGUUGGAGUGGUUCCUGAGGCGGUUCCAAUAGACCCCAUCGGCGCUGCAAUACAAAAUGCAGUUUCCACUAUGUGCAGUUUUAUGGGAUGUUAAAGCAAUGUACGCUUGAGAACCGAGCUCCGAAAAUUAUUUUUCAAAAGAAAUAAUAAACUGACUAUAAUAAAAAU